AAAAAACAGAAUUGGGCUUCAUCAAACACACUUAACCCAUCAGCCAGUUGACACAAAAGAACCCUAGAUCUACAUGGAAGCAUCCCGCCCCCACCUUAUUCUCUUUCACUCCAUUUUCGUUUUAUUCUUCCCCUGUUUUCACGAUUUUUUCUCUCAACAUCACUUCUGUUCUUAGCUCUCACCAAUACUCUCAAAUCCAUUUACCAAAACUUGCUCUCAAACCCAAUCACCUAUAUCAAACAAGAACAAGCGCUGUUGCGGGUCAUUAUUGCCGUCGGUGUUGAAUCGGAUGUUGCGAUGAUGGCGAAUCGGUGAAUAUCCGUAACAAUGAUGAUGAAGGCGCGGUUCACGUUGUUGUGUUGAAGGUGAACGUCGGUUGUUUGAAGGUGGUGCUGAAUGGAUGAUACUGUCGUUUCGAUUUAUGAAGGUUCGGAUUGGUUGUUGAAGGUUUUGGAGGUUUUUGAGUGGUGUUAUGACGGAGAGUUGUUCUGGUUUCAAUCGGGCAGCAUAACUGCAUUUUGAAGGUGAAUUGAAGAAUGGUUGAAGGUUAUGUGUUAGGAGGAAGCUGUAGUGAUUUCAGCAGCAUAACGUUGUAAAUUUUUCCUCUCCCUUCUGUGAUCUGAGCACACCUUUUUAUAGCAAUAGGAAAGUGAGGGCAUGAGGAAAUUUGGAGAAGAUUGGAAUCCGAUUUGUUACAAAUUGGUGAGCUAGAAAUAGUGAUGAAAUCGUGACUGCUAGGGGUGGACAACGGUCGGCGGCAGACGGUUUUGGAUCAAAAAUUGUCCACCGUUCAAGACCGAUGGAUUGAAUAUAUCAAUCCACUUCCGCCCAUUUUACAUAUCGGUUACGGCGGAUGGCGGUUUUCUCGGAUAGCGGUUUGACGCACUUAAAAAGAUAGGGAAAAUAUCAGAAUCAAAAACUAAAAACACGAACAAAAAGGGAGAAAUUGAUAGGAGGUGCAAUUAGAUAUUUUAAUUAGUACAGUAAUAUAAUAUUAGUUGUUAUUUUAUUUUGAAUAUUUGAUUGAAUUGGGCUUUUAGUAGUGUUUGAGCCACUAUAUAUUGUAGUCUCAUUGAGACAUUAGUUUAAGUUUAUUAUCAUUAAAAGUACUAUAUAUUGUAGUCUCAUUGAGACAUUAGGUAUCAAAGAAAUGAAAUGAAAUUUAUCAUUAUUCUUUUUAUUUUAUUUACUCAUUUUAGUGUUCUUCCCGUUUUCUAGUAGAAACCCUAGAUUAUUAGUUUGGUAGGAAUAACUUCCUAUCAGAAACUCAUACUAAAAACACCAACGCUAUCAUUUUUUUGAACAUUUGUUAAAUACCAUAUAUCCCUUUGAAGCAAGAUCUAGAAUAGAGAACAUUUUUUAAGAAGAUUUAGUAAAAAAUAAUGUUUCAUCUUGUCGUAGCAUAGCAGCAAUAAACUUGAAUAUAAAGAUGUUAAUGGAGUCAUAAAAAUGGUGUGAUAGAAAAGAGCUUUCAUGGAGAUUAAGAACAUCAGACUAGAAAUAGUGUUUGGGUGUGAAAUGUUGUGUGAUGUCUUGAGAGAGAAAGGAGAGAGGAAAGCAAAGCAAGUGUAAUUUGUGAGUGAGAGAAAGAAGACAUCGAAAAUAGAGUCUAGGAAUG